UCUAACUUCCUGGAAAAGGCAACAAAGAACUUAAGUAAGGCAGUCAGUUAGAAGCUUGAUUAGCUUCAGGAAAAGCUCUUAGCUGUGGAGAAAAACAACCACUGGAACAUGAAAGCAGAAAUGGUGAAAAACAUAAUUUAAAGGUACAUUUCCUGAUUUGUGAGGGGCCCUAUUCUUGGGGCUCAGAUGUACCAGGCACAAGGGACAGCCAGAUAUGCCUGCCCCCAACCCCCAUCUUGGUUGUUUUGGGGCACAGGUUAAAGAAGAAGAAAUGGCAAAUUCUAGAAGUGAGGCCAGAGGAAGUCGAGAGACUGGGUCUCGCAACGUUGCCCAAGCUGGUCUUGAACUCUGACCUCAAGUGAUCCUCCUGCCUUGGCCUUCCAAAGUGUUGGGAUUAGAGGUGUGAGUCACCACUCCUGGCCCUAACUGGUGUUUUGAAAACAGAUCAAAGGACAACAACUGAGGAAGCGGGUGACCAGUUGGAAGGCUAUUGCAACGAGCCAGGUGACUGUGACACAGGUGGUAAAUGGCCGGAUUCAGGAUCGAUUUUAAAGGCAGAGCUGAUGAGUUUCGAGAGAAAGAAAGGAAUGAAGGAUGAUUCCAAAGCUUUCCACCUGAGCAGUUAGAAGAAUGAAGUUGUCAUUUGUUAACAAUGGGCAGGACUGUGACAAAAGCAGAUUGGUCUGUUCUGAUUGUGUAAGAUUUGAGGUGAUGCGGAGGGCAGGGUUGAAUAUGAGCUGAGGAGAGACUUGUGGGCUGGAGAUACAAAAUGGGACUUCCUACACAUGUGGAGAGAGAGAGAGUGUGUGUGUGUGUGUGUGUGAGAGAGAGAGAGUGUGUGUGUGUGUGUGUGAGAGAGAGAGAGAGAGUGCUUUUCUCCAAGGCUGGAGAGGGUGGACAAAAGAAGGAAAGAAAAGCUAAGCAGAACACUAAGGCUUAGUUUCUGCCAUUUCUCUAAAACGUUCACAAAAGUUGGUAAAAGUUCUUAACAUUUUACAACAUUACCUCGACCCUCACAUUCUCCACGUGACAAGUACUCCGCUGUUCAUGUGCUUUCCUAGGUUUCCAAUAAACCAGUGAACUCUUAGGAAUGUCUCAGACAUUGCUGAUUUCAUCAUUUUAAAAGAUUUUCAAAUACUGUUGGUGUGUGGAACUCCGUGGAAGCCAAAACCUGAUUUUGUUUUUUUAUUGAUUUUUAUCUCACCAUUUCCUGUACACACUGUAGGUUGGGAGUUUAUUUUUUAUGACUUUUUCUUUGCACAGUUGGUGAGUGCUGGCAUUUAAAAAAUAUUUUUAAUAAAAAACAAUUGAGGAAGUUGCACUGAAUCCUGAAUAGGUUUAUGCCCUAGUUCUUUAGAACUUUUGCCAUUUUCUGAGAGCUCAAUGCUAAAUUGAUUACUGACUGCCUCCCAAAGAAACCCCAGUCAAGCAAUUGGUAUGUGAAGGGAAAUUUUCCAAAGGACACACCUAACAUUUGUCGCAUUAGACUUUCCACUGUCUCCUUAAAACAAGCUAGAUCACCUGAAAAUUAUGCAGGUAUCUAUUUGCCUCCUGUAUGUGUCGUGAGUAAAUACAUCACGAAGCUUUAAAUCUCAUCCAAAGCCUUGCUUUUUAAAGGGCUCAGAUGCAGUUUAUAC
rnacentral:lncRNA from 10 species